AGAGUUUGAUCCUGGCUCAGAAUCAACGCUGGCGGCGCGCCUAACACAUGCAAGUCGAGCGAGAAAGGGAGCAAUCCUGAGUAAAGCGGCGUACGGGUGAGUAACACGUAGGUAUCCACCUCUUAGUGGGGAAUAACUCGGGGAAACCUGAGCUAAUACCGCAUAAGUCCGAGAGGAGAAAGCAGCAAUGCGCUGAGAGAGGAGCCUGCGGCCGAUUAGCUAGAUGGCGGGGUAAUGGCCCACCAUGGCGACGAUCGGUAGCCGGCCUGAGAGGGCACACGGCCACACUGGCACUGAAACACGGGCCAGACUCCUACGGGAGGCAGCAGUGGGGAAUCUUGCACAAUGGAGGAAACUCUGAUGCAGCGACGCCGCGUGGACGACGAAGCCCUUCGGGGUGUAAAGUCCUUUCGACCGGAACGAUAAUGACGGUACCGGUGGAAGAAGCUGCGGCUAACUACGUGCCAGCAGCCGCGGUAAUACGUAGGCAGCAAGCGUUGUUCGGAAUUACUGGGCGUAAAGAGUUCGUAGGCGGUGCGGCAAGUUCGGUGUGAAAUCUCCCGG
rnacentral:rRNA from 1 species